GGAUUAGAUACCCUGGUAGUCCACGCCGUAAACGAUGAUAACUAGCUGUCGGGGCUCUUAGAGCUUCGGUGGCGCAGCUAACGCAUUAAGUUAUCCGCCUGGGGAGUACGGCCGCAAGGUUAAAACUCAAAUGAAUUGACGGGGGCCUGCACAAGCGGUGGAGCAUGUGGUUUAAUUCGAAGCAACGCGCAGAACCUUACCAGCGUUUGACAUGUCCGGACGAUUUCGGGAGACCGAUCUCUUCCCUUCGGGGACUGGAACACAGGUGCUGCAUGGCUGUCGUCAGCUCGUGCCG
rnacentral:rRNA from 1 species